UUUAAUUCGAAGCAACGCGAAGAACCUUACCAGGUCUUGACAUCCUCUGACAACCCUAGAGAUAGGGCUUCUCCUUCGGGAGCAGAGUGACAGGUGGUGCAUGGUUGUCGUCAGCUCGUGUCGUGAGAUGUUGGGUUAAGUCCCGCAACGAGCGCAACCCUUGAUCUUAGUUGCCAUCAUUUAGUUGGGCACUCUAAGGUGACUGCCGGUGACAAACCGGAGGAAGGUGGGGAUGACGUCAAAUCAUCAUGCCCCUUAUGACCUGGGCUACACACGUGCUACAAUGGACGGUACAAAGAGCUGCAAGACCGCGAGGUGGAGCUAAUCUCAUAAAACCGUUCUCAGUUCGGAUUGUAGGCUGCAACUCGCCUACAUGAAGCUGGAAUCGCUAGUAAUCGCGGAUCAGCAUGCCG
rnacentral:rRNA from 1 species